UACGAAGGGGGCUAGCGUUGCUCGGAAUCACUGGGCGUAAAGCGCACGUAGGCGGAUUUUUAAGUCAGGGGUGAAAUCCUGGAGCUCAACUCCAGAACUGCCUUUGAUACUGGGAAUCUCGAGUCCGGAAGAGGUGAGUGGAACUGCGAGUGUAGAGGUGAAAUUCGUAGAUAUUCGCAAGAACACCAGUGGCGAAGGCGGACUCACUGGUCCGGUACUGACGCUGAGGAGCGAAAGCGUGGGUAG
rnacentral:rRNA from 1 species